CUCUGCCCAGAAGGAGACGUUUCCCCUCUACCCAACUUUCACACGAGCCACCCUCCUCACCCCGUCUCUCUGCUUUAACCUCUUUUAGGAUGAUUGACGGUAGGAAAACUCCUCCUGACUGGGGGAAAAUACUCCCCAAUCCUCAAGGAUGUGGUCUGGUUCUGUGCUCUUGUUAAGAGCCCUGUUGGCUACUGGUCGACUGAACAUGUUCUCCUUCCGGCCCGUGCUGCGAGCACUGUAAUGCGGCUUCCCUCCUGGGACAAGAUAGUCUUCUGUUCUUGGCGUCAAGCACGGGCCAGCUCAAAGCUUGGUGAAAGGAGGGUUUGUCUGGGAAGCGAAGUCCAUAAGG
rnacentral:lncRNA from 1 species